UAUAGAUCAGUGCUGUAGAUCUACUACAGCAGAUCUAUCACAGGCCACAAACAUGUGAUGUGUGUCAGGAGAGAAUCAGUGAUACACACACACACACACACACACACACACACACAUACACACACACACACACACACACACACACACACACACGUCUGAACCUGCAGUUCCUCUCAUAAUGAGCAGAAUUACUGUUGCAUCAACACAGACAUCAGUUAAAUAAAACUAUCCAGAGAUGGGGUGGGCGAUAUCAGCUAAAAUUCAUAUCACAGUAUUUUACACUGUCCAGGAGAUAUCGAUAUUAUAUUGUGAUAUGAGGAAAAAAAAAUUACAGGCACAAUAUUUUAACCUUACAUAACUAGAAAAAGUGAGGAAUUGGACAUAGACCUUAAAAGUGUUGUUUUUUUUUUUUUUUUUUUAUAGUGCCAUUGUUUUUCUCAGAAGUGGGGCCUGUAUGAAUUACAUUAAAUAUUGUGUGUUUGAGUUGGCCAGUGGUUCCCAAACUUUUUCUGACAGGCCCCUCUUUUGUAGACAAAAAUAUUUUCAAGCCCCUUCUUCUUUUUUUGGAAAGUCUCUUAUGCUCACCAAGACUACAUUUACUUAUUAAAAAUACAGUAAACACUGUAAUAUUGUCAAUUUAAAUGAUCUAUUUGAAUGUUUUAACAUAUAGGCUACUGUGUUCCUGUAAUCAAAGCUGAUUUUUCAGCAUCAUUACUCCAGUCUUCAGUGUCACAUGAUCUUCAGAUAUCAUACUAAUAUGCUGAUUUGCUGCUCAAUAACCAUUUCUGAUUAUUGUCAAUGUUGUAAACAUUUGUGCUACUUAAUAUUUUUGAAAUUGUUCUUUGUGUCAGAGCGCUGGGGUUCGUCAGAAAUAGAACGGGGCAUCAGUUUGUUGUCAUGGAUUUGUUGUUGCAUCGCGCCGCAUCCACAGCAGAAAACAUCACUGAGUUCUAUUUGCUUUUGUCAAAUCGAGCCGCUCGUGUCUGGUGUAGACACUUAGAGCAGAACCAUGCGUCGUUCAUUUAUAUUUCUACAUGACUCCCUGCAAUACAACUCUGAUUCAUCAGUCGCUCCAUCUAUUGGUCUGUUAUUGAUACAAACACAACUGCUACAACUGAUAACGGAGCGCUAAUGUUGAGCUCAUAUUAUGUGUAAUAUUUUGUGUUCAAUUAUUUACUUAUCAGGAAAAUGGCCGCAUAAGUGGGUAAAUUAUACAGUGUAGUCUUUAUCACCCUGCAGAGGUUUAUUUUGUAAAAUAUUCUGCUGACUGUACACUAUCCCUCAGUUUGGGAACCACUGGAGCAGGUGAUUCGUGCUCUAUUAGUUUGGUCUGUUAUGAUGCUCUAUAUGUUUGAUUACUAAUGCCUGUGUAGAAUGGUGUUGCACACAGAGGACAAAAACAUUCAGCUUUGACUCUUUAUCGUCAUUUGUGUUAGUCCAGUGUUUGGUGAAUUCUGCUACAUAAUAAUAGGAAGAGCCGGCAUUAAAAGAUCAACUAAAUAUAUCACUAUGAAUGCUUAGCUUUCACAAGCUAGUUAUCUCUUUGCUAACUUUCCUCAUCUCCUGCUUAAAAGCCAGAAAGAUCUUCAGAUUUUUGAGAAUAUGAUCUAGUGAGCUGUUGCCCCUGAGUUUCUUUUAAAGAAUUUACUUUUGACUUUUGUCUUUCUUAAAAAUAUUUGUAUAUUUAAAUGUUCAGCUGUUUAAACUUGAACUAGAGCUUUUCAUUACAAACAAUGUUUGAUGAUCUUUAAAUGUUUUGUGAUGCAAUGCACAUUGAAUUGAUUCCAGCUUCAUCUUCUCUUCUGCAGGUUUUUGGGUCCUGCUGCAGAUGAAGGCUGUCAGUAUGUGACUGGAAUUGUGGGUAAAAACCCGUUACUCCUGAGAGAGCUGAAUCUGAGUGAACAUGAACUAGGAGACACAGGAGUGAAUCAGAUCUCUGCUCUACUGCAGGAUAAACACUGUACACUCAACACACUGAUCUUCCAACCUUCUUAGAAUAGAUUCAGACAACUUUUGAAUAGACUUCAGUUAAAUUUAGUCUCUAACUUCUGCUGUGACUGCUGAAUGUGAUCAUGUUUACUGACUACAAACUGAGGAUUGAAGACUAAUUUAAAAACAUUGACCACCAACCAGUAACACCUCCCUCACAGAUGAACUGAAGCCCUUUAAUGCUUGCUUUGAUCGUAUAAACACAGAAGCACAUCAAAGCUGAGCCCCACACGACGACCUGCCUCUCUCUUUUUUAACCAGUGAGGUGUGCUUCUACCUGAGCAGGUGAAUGCACAGAAAGUGUCUGACCCUGAUGGUCUUCCUGACCGAGUGCUCAGGGUCUGCACAGAACAGCUGGCUGAUGUCUUCACACACAUUUUCAAGCUCUACUUGGUCCCCACUUGCUUCUAUUUAUAUAUUUAUAUUUAAAUUCAUAAAUAAAGUUCCAUUUGCACUUCUGGUUAGAUGCUGGUUAGAUCUCAUUAGCCG
ensembl:lncRNA